GAGGGGUAUAUGUCUUCGGAUAUAGAGACCGGCGCACGGGUGCGUAACGCGUAUGCAAUCUACCUUUUACAGAGGGAUAGCCCAGAGAAAUUUGGAUUAAUACCUCAUAGUAUAGUGACUCGGCAUCGAGAUACUAUUAAAGUCACAACGGUAAAAGAUGAGCAUGCGUCCCAUUAGCUAGUUGGUAAGGUAACGGCUUACCAAGGCUACGAUGGGUAGGGGUCCUGAGAGGGAGAUCCCCCACACUGGUACUGAGACACGGACCAGACUCCUACGGGAGGCAGCAGUGAGGAAUAUUGGACAAUGGGCGCAAGCCUGAUCCAGCCAUGCCGCGUGCAGGAUGACGGUCCUAUGGAUUGUAAACUGCUUUUGUACGAGAAGAAACACUCCUUCGUGAAGGAGCUUGACGGUAUCGUAAGAAUAAGGAUCGGCUAACUCCGUGCCAGCAGCCGCGGUAAUACGGAGGAUCCAAGCGUUAUCCGGAAUCAUUGGGUUUAAAGGGUCCGUAGGCGGUUUAGUAAGUCAGUGGUGAAAGCCCAUCGCUCAACGGUGGAACGGCCAUUGAUACUGCUAAACUUGAAUUAUUAGGAAGUAACUAGAAUAUGUAGUGUAGCGGUGAAAUGCUUAGAGAUUACAUGGAAUACCAAUUGCGAAGGCAGGUUACUACUAAUGGAUUGACGCUGAUGGACGAAAGCGUGGGUAGCGAACAGGAUUAGAUACCCUGGUAGUCCACGCCGUAAACGAUGGAUACUAGCUGUUGGAAGCAAUUUCAGUGGCUAAGCGAAAGUGAUUAGUAUCCCACCUGGGGAGUACGUUCGCAAGAAUGAAACUCAAAG
rnacentral:rRNA from 1 species